UACGUAGGGACCAAGCGUUGUUCGGAUUUACUGGGCGUAAAGGGCGCGUAGGCGGCGUGUUAAGUCAGCUGUGAAAUCUCCAAGCUUAACUUGGAACGGUCAGCUGAUACUGAUGUGCUAGAGUGCAGAAGGGGCAACCGGAAUUCUUGGUGUAGCGGUGAAAUGCGUAGAUAUCUGGAGGAACACCGGUGGCGAAGGCGGCAUCCUGGACCGACACUGACGCUGAGGUGCGAAAGCGUGGGGAGCAAACAGG
rnacentral:rRNA from 1 species